GGCCCCGUAGCUCAGUGGCAGAGCACCCGCCUUUUAAGCGGAGUGUCGCAGGUUCGAAUCCUGCCGGGGUCA
rnacentral:tRNA from 1 species